AACGAACGCUGGCGGCAUGCCUAACACAUGCAAGUCGAACGAGACCUUCGGGUCUAGUGGCGCACGGGGGCGUAACGCGUGGGAACCUGCCCUUAGGUUUGGAAUAACUUCCUGAAAGGGGUGCUAAUACCGGCUAAUUUCUUCGGACCAAAGGUUUAUCGCCUUUGGGUGGGCCCGCGUUGUAUUAGCUUGUGGUUAGGGUAAAAGCCUCCCACGGCGACGAUCCAUAGCUGGUCAGAGAGGAAGGUCAGCCACACUGGUAGUGGGACACGGCCCAGAAUCCUACAGGAGGCAGCAGUGGGGAAUAUAGGAAAAUGGGCGAAAGCCUGAUCCAGCAAUGCCGCGUGAGUGAUGAAGGCCUUAGGGUUGUAAAGCUCUUUUACCCGGGAUGAUAAUGACGGUACCGGGAGAAUAAGCACCGGCUAACUCCGUG
rnacentral:rRNA from 1 species